GACGAACGCUGGCGGCGUGCUUAACACAUGCAAGUCGAACGGAAAGGCCCUGCUUUUGUGGGGUGCUCGAGUGGCGAACGGGUGAGUAACACGUGAGUAACCUGCCCUUGACUUUGGGAUAACUCCAGGAAACUGGGGCUAAUACCGGAUAGGAGCUCUUGCUGCAUGGGGGGGGUUGGAAAGUUUCGGCGGUUGGGGAUGGACUCGCGGCUUAUCAGCUUGUUGGUGGGGUAGUGGCUUACCAAGGCUUUGACGGGUAGCCGGCCUGGGAGGGUGACCGGCCACAUUGGGACUGAGAUACGGCCCAGACUCCUACGGGAGGCAGCAGUGGGGAAUAUUGCACAAUGGGCGGAAGCCUGAUGCAGCAACGCCGCGUGCGGGAUGACGGCCUUCGGGUUGUAAACCGCUUUCGCCUGUGACGAAGCGUGAGUGACGGUAAUGGGUAAAGAAGCACCGGCUAACUACGUG
rnacentral:rRNA from 1 species